CCACUACCAUGCAACAUAUUAACAGUAAGGUGUAAUAAACACAGUGAUGAGUCAUGUUGACCUCACUCAAUUUCCCAGGAGGCCGUGUGAUUACCCAUGAACCCGCACUGCAGUGAUUCUCUGAGGAAAACACUCCACAUGCAGCUCUCUGUGGCAAAGCUUAUUGAGUCUUUAUAACGGGACACAGUGUGAGGUCGUGAAGAGUUUAUAACGGGACACAGUGUGAGGUCGUGAAGAGUUUAUAGGGACACAGUGUGAAGUCGUGAAGAGUUUAUAACAGGACACAGUGUGAGGUCGUGAAAAGUUUAUAACGGGACACAGUGUGAGGUCAUGAAGAGUUUAUAACGGGACACAGUGUGAGGUCGUGAAGAGUUUAUAACGGGACACAGUGUGAGGUCGUGAAGAGUUUAUAGGGACACAGUGUGAGGUCGUGAAGAGUUUAUAACAGGACACAGUGUGAGGUCGUGAAGAGUUUAUAACGGGACACAGUGUGAGGUCGUGAAGAGAAAAAAAAGCUCAUGAACUGCAAGUGAAGUGUUUCUCCAUUUUUGCUUUAUUAAACCCAGGAAUGGGAAACAUUUUGCAUAUAAUAUCAUUCUUUGUGUGUGUGUGUGUGUGUGUGCGUGCACUUUAUAAACAUGCUUGCCUACCCCUGCUUUCCAGUACUGUUAAUAACAAGCCCUCAUCAAUCCCCCUUAUUUUAGAAGUUAGUAAUAUUACUUUUUUCUGCAUUUUGAGCCAAAGAAAAUUUCACAAACGUGUUAAAUACCUCAGACUCUACUUUUAAUCAUCUAAUUAUACAUUAGGUAUCUAGUGCACUGUGUAGAGUUUUAGAACACUGUUGUUAUACCAUAUGUAGUGAUAUACAUGU
ensembl:lncRNA